GACGAACGCUGGCGGCGUGCUUAACACAUGCAAGUCGAACGGAAAGGCCCUGCUUUUGUGGGGUGCUCGAGUGGCGAACGGGUGAGUAACACGUGAGUAUCCUGCCCUUGACUUUGGGAUAACUUCAGGAAACUGGGGCUAAUACCGGAUAGGAGCUCCUGCUGCAUGGUGGGGGUUAGAAAGUUUCGGCGGUUGGGGCUGGACUCGCGGCUUAUCAGCUUGUUGGUGGGGUAGUGGCUUACCAAGGCUUUGACGGGUAGCCGGCCUGAGAGGGUGACCGGCCACAUUGGGACUGAGAUACGGCCCAGACUCCUACGGGAGGCAGCAGGGGGGAAUAUUGCACAAUGGGCGGAAGCCUGAUGCAGCAACGCCGCGUGCGGGAUGACGGCCUUCGGGUUGUAAACCGCUUUCGCCUGUGACGAAGCGUGAGUGACGGUAAUGGGUAAAGAAGCACCGGCUAACUACGUG
rnacentral:rRNA from 1 species